rnacentral:rRNA from 1 species
CGUUCCCGGUCUUCGUACACACCGCCCGUCACACCACGAAAGUCGGCAACACCCGAAGCCGGUGGCCUAACCCGCAAGGGAGGGAGCCGUCGAAGGUGGGGCUGGCGAUUGGGGUG